AUACGGAGGGUGCGAGCGUUGUUCGGAAUUAUUGGGCAUAAAGAGCAUGUAGGCGGUCUGUUAAGUCUGGUGUGAAAGCCCGGGGCUCAACCCCGGAAGUGCAUUGGAUACUGGCAGACUUGAGUAUGGGAGAGGAAAGCGGAAUUCCGAGUGUAGGAGUGAAAUCCGUAGAUAUUCGGAGGAACACCAGUGGCGAAGGCGGCUUUCUGGACCAAUACUGACGCUGAGACGCGAAAGCGUGGGGAGCGAACAGGAUUAGAAACCCGUGUAGUCC
rnacentral:rRNA from 1 species